GCCUGGGUGGCUCAGUUGGUUGAGUGUCUGACUUUUGCUCAGGUCAUGACAUCCACGUUCACGGGUUCAAGCCCCACAUCGGGCU
rfam:Felis catus isolate Cinnamon breed Abyssinian chromosome B4, whole genome shotgun sequence.